AAAAUGUAAUUUUAAAAUACUAAGUAAUUAAUAGUUAAGGUCUUUAAAAUUAAAAAAUUUGGCGGUAUUUUAGUCUAUUCAGAGGAACCUGUUCUAUAAUUGAUAAUCCACGAUUAAUUUUACUUAUCUUAUUAGUUUGUAUAUCGUCGUAGUUUGAAUAUUUUAGGAGAAUUUAAAUGUUCAAGAUUUUAAAUUAAAUAGGAAAUCAGAUCAAGAUGCAGUUUAUAGAUAAGAAGAAAUGGGUUACAAUAAUUAUAUUUUUAUUGGAUUGAUUAAUGAAAUUUAAUCAUGAAAUUGGAUUUGAUAGUAAUUUUAAUUAUUUAAUUAAGAUGAUUUUAGCUCUAAAAUAUGU
rnacentral:rRNA from 1 species